rnacentral:sRNA from 1 species
UGCCUAGAGGUGCUGAUACAUGGCGUGUU